rnacentral:lncRNA from 1 species
UGGAAGUUUAAAAAAUAGCCAUUUGGCCCUCAAACUUUAUAUAAUUACACUAUUUCCCAUUUCUCAACUAUAAAUACACCCUCAUUCUUUCAUUUUUAUUCACCAAUUCAUCAAUAUCUCCCAAUCUCUCUCAAGCUCUCUUUCAAUCUUUCUAGUGCAAGUGCUUACUUUAUUGUUGCAAAUUCGUGAAAAAUUGUGAAGUUGUUGAAUUGAAGUUUUCAAGUGUUCAAGUUCAACGAUUUUCAAUUUUCAUGAAGUUGUUCGUCAAUCCGGUAAACUCGUUUCAACUCUUACGUGCUAAUAGUAUUUUUUUUGUGUUUUUAGUUUGNN